rnacentral:rRNA from 1 species
GGAAUAUUGGACAAUGGGGGCAACCCUGAUCCAGCAAUGCCGCGUGGGUGAUGAAGGCCUUCGGGUUGUAAAGCCCUUUCGACGGGGAAGAUGAUGAUGGUACCCGUAGAAGAAGCCCCGGCUAACUCCGUGCCAGCAGCCGCGGUAAUACGGAGGGGGCUAGCGUUGUCCGGAAUUACUGGGCGUAAAGGGCGCGUAGGCGGCUUUUCAAGUCAGGCGUGAAAGCCCCGGGCUCAACCUGGGAAUUGCGCUUGAGACUGUUGGGCUUGAGAUCGGGAGAGGUGAGUGGAAUUCCCAGUGUAGAGGUGAAAUUCGUAGAUAUUGGGAAGAACACCAGUGGCGAAGGCGGCUCACUGGCCCGCAUCUGACGCUGAGGCGCGAAAGCGUGGGGAGCAAA